rnacentral:rRNA from 1 species
AGAGUUUGAUCCUGGCUCAGAAUCAACGCUGGCGGCGUGCCUAACACAUGCGAGUCGAACGAGAAAGUGGAGCAAUCCAUGAGUAAAGUGGCGACCGGGUGAGUAACACGUGACUAACCUGCCCUCGAGUGGGGGAUAACCCCGGGAAACCGGGGCUAAUACCGCAUAACAUCGCAAGAUCAAAGUAGCAAUACGCUUGAGGAGGGGGUCGCGGCUGAUUAGCUAGUUGGUAGGGUAACGGCCUACCAAGGCUGAGAUCGGUAUCCGGCCUGAGAGGGCGCACGGACACACUGGAACUGAAACACGGUCCAGACUCCUACGGGAGGCAGCAGUGGGGAAUUUUGCGCAAUGGGGGAAACCCUGACGCAGCAACGCCGCGUGGAGGAUGAAGUCCUUUGGGACGUAAACUCCUUUCGACCCGGACGAUACUGACGGUACGGGUGGAAGAAGCACCGGCUAACUCUGUGCCAGCAGCCGCGGUAAUACAGAGGGUGCGAGCGUUGUUCGGAAUUAUUGGGCGUAAAGGGCGCGUAGGCGGUGCGGUAAGUCACCUGUGAAGUCUCCUGGCUCAACUGGGAGCUUGCAGGCGAAACUGCCGUGCUGGAGUGUGGGAGAGGUGCGUGGAAUUCCUGGUGUAGCGGUGAAAUGCGUAGAUAUCAGGAGGAACACCUGUGGCGAAAGCGGCGCACUGGACCACAACUGACGCUGAGGCGCGAAAGCUAGGGGAGCAAACAGGAUUAGAUACCCUGGUAGUCCUAGCCCUAAACUAUGGAUGCUUGCUGUGAUCGGUACCCAAUCCGAUCGUGGCGCAGCUAACGCGUUAAGCAUCCCGCCCGGGGAGUACGGUCGCAAGGCUGAACUCAAGGAAUUGACGGGGGCCCGCACAAGCGGUGGAGCAUGUGGUUCAAUUCGACGCAACGCGAAGAACCUUACCUGGGCUCGAAGCGCAGUGGAAUGAGGUGAAC